CGCUAGUAAUCGUGGAUCAGAAUGCCACGGUGAAUACGUUCCCGGGCCUUGUACACACCGCCCGUCACACCAUGGGAGUGGGUUGCAAAAGAAGUAGGUAGCUUAACCUUCGGGAGGGCGCUUACCACUUUGUGAUUCAUGACUGGGGUGAAGUCGUAACAAGGUAACCGUAGGGGAACCUGCGGUUGGAUCACCUCCUUACCUUAAAGAA
rnacentral:rRNA from 1 species